ACUCGCACCAUGGAGAGCCGAAGAAUCUCAUAGAUUUUCCUGCACGGCACUAAAGCGGGCUAGGAGACUAGCAAAGUGCCACACGCACGUCCCUCUCAGCGCUCUCAAUGGCUGGAAAAUGGCGGCUACGUUGCCAACCAACAAUGGCAAGGGACGCAUGCACACGUUCAAUCGGUUUUUCUUACUAUAAAAGCUUGGGAGCAAACAGUUUGCCGGUAUAAAUGUUGGAUGGGUGGAUGCAUGGAUGAAUUGAUUGAUUUGAGUUU